UAGGACAAAGGUCUCUUUUCCUUCAGGUU
rnacentral:piRNA from 2 species